rnacentral:misc_RNA from 1 species
GUAUCUGAUUGAAUUUGCUGCCAAUCUUCUCGCAAUCUGCUAGCAUUUUGCUAUUAGGGAGAUUAUCUAAGUAAACUCGUACUCUUCUGUGCUCGUGCCUCGUGCCUCGUCCCUCGUCGCUCAUCCCUCGAGUAUCUCGUGAAUAGUGAUAAAGCCUAAAGAUGAAGAAUUAUUCAAUAGUAGAAUUUGUCAAAGAGAGCACAGUAGAAAUAAUUCCUUCCUCUUGGAUUCUACCUAAUAAUAAAACUGCAUUAUGGCCUGAAGGCAUAAACCGAUCAGUUUUAAAAAAACAUUUAAAGAAUUUAAUUAAACCCAUUGGCGAUUGGUCCAUUGUGGAAAUAAGAAUUUUGGGACAUGCAGACACUCUCGUUAACGCUGAAAAAAAGCGCAAAAAGCCGAAGAUACGUCUUACUUAAGUAGUGAUUCCGAUCCGGAAACAUUUCUUCCAUCAAAACGAGCAAAGAAAAAACCUUCUAGAUUUGAGGAUAUUUCUUCUGACGAAGAAGACACACAAGAGCCAAUCACGCAAUUAAAAGGACGAUAUCAAAAUAAAACUAUUAACUCAGAACAUUCGUUUAAACGUCCCGUCGUUCCAGCUUUUCCUGAUUUUCAAGAUUCUACCGUAAUAGAAAAAGUUAGACAAGGAAAUAUACAAACAGAUUGUCAGAAUAAAGAAAGUUUUGUACAUAACAAUAAAAGAGCAGAAAAUAUUGUAAGAACUAAAGAAACAGUUACAGGGUCACAAUUUCUGAAAUACAUUAAAGAAGGAAUUUUAAGUAAGAUUUUUACAUUGAUUGAAGAAAUAAAAUAUGAUAUGAACACGUUCAAAACAAAUCAGCAAGAAAUUAAAGCAGGAAUCGAUGCUUUAUUAACAGCAAAUGACAAAAUAAACAUAAAUAAGUUCAGUCGGCUACUUCCAGUUACUUCUAUAGAAUCAUUCAACGAAAUUGACAACUCUGUGACAAACUCUGAAGAGGACUUUUUAUCUCUUUUAAGAAUAACAAAAUAAAAUAUCUUAAUCUCGCGUCUGGUGAAACAGUAAAUAAACUCAUACCAUCAAUAAUGAAAAUGAUCAUGAAAAAAAGCCGUGUCCAUACAAUUUAGUGGUUGUGGUAAACAAAAGAAACGUGAUUUUUCUGCAACGAAAAUUGCUGCUGCAGUACUUGAAGUGGUAUCAAAAAAAUUGCCUAAUGCAACAAGAAAAGAGAUAUUUAAUAAAAUAUCUAAAUUUCUUGCUGAAAGUGGAGAUAGAGAGAGAGGAAGAAGAGAACGAUCUCUUGCUGUAAGCAAAGAUAAGGAUGGAAGAAGAAAAGAAAGAUCGCUUAAUGAAAGUGAAGAUAGCGAAAAUAGAAGAGAGAGAUCGCAUACUGAAGAAGAA